rnacentral:rRNA from 1 species
ACAGUGGACGCGAGCAUCUGUGGCCAAGUUUUUAAGGGCGCACGGUGGAUGCCUUGGCACCAGGAACCGAUGAAGGACGUGGGAGGCCACGAUAGUCCCCGGGGAGCCGUCAACCAGGCUUUGAUCCGGGGGUUUCCGAAUGGGGAAACCCGGCAGUCGUCAUGGGCUGUCACC